AUUGAAAUACCGUUUUCCGUACGAUCACCGAAGUUAAGCAACGUCGAGCCUAGUCAGUAGCUAGAUGGGUGACCGCUUGGGGAUGCUAAGUGCUA